CAAAAAUCAAUACCUUGACUACUAUCUAGGCUCUUCAUGAAGAAUGCAAGUAUUUCCUGAGUCCAGAUGGACAAUGUGCUUAUUCCUCCUUUUGACACAUUUUGUUCAGGAUUCAAAGUAUUUUACAAGAAAUGUCUCAUGAAUUUCAUUAUCUACCCUCUGAUCUGGGUGGACAGUUACUACUUCUUUGCUUAAAAUUUCAAAUCCAGCGCAACCAGAAAUGGAGAAAAGGUUUUGUUUUAGAAGUUCCAUGGGGCUUCAAGAGAGACUCUCAGCCAGGUCCUGCUUUUAGUAAAAUCUUCAUGGAACAAGGAGAAAU
rnacentral:lncRNA from 1 species